rnacentral:rRNA from 1 species
AAUGAACGCUGGCGGCAUGCCUAACACAUGCAAGUCGAACGAAGGCUUCUGCCUUGGUGGCGCACGUGUACGUAACGCGUGGGAAUCUGCCCCUGGGUUGGGAAUAACAGGUAGACAUGACCGCUAAUACCGGUUGCUUUCGGAAAACCAAAGUUUUAUCGCCCAAGACUUAGCUGGUGUAGGCUUAGCUGGUCGGUGGGGUAACGGCCUACCAAGGCGACGCGCCUUAGCUGGUCGGGGAGGAGGACCAGCCACACUGGGACUGAGACACGGCCCAGACUCCUACGGGAGGCAGCGGUGGGGAAUAUUGGCCAAGGGGCGAAAGCCUGAGCCAGCACUGCCGCGUGAGGGAUGAAGGCCUUAGGGUGGUAAAGCCCGUUUAACCGGGAGGAUAAUGACAGUACCGGAAGAAUAAGCUCCGGCUAACUUCGUG